GAAUCUAAACCCUUCCCAGAGUAUCAAUUGGAGGGCAAGUCUGGUGCCAGCAGCCGCGGUAAUUCCAGCUCCAAUAGCGUAUAUUAAAGUUGUUGCAGUUAAGAAGCUCGUAGUUGAAUUUCUGCCUUGUCAUUAAUCUCGCUUCCGAGCGUUUUUUUAUUGGCUUGGCAUCUUCUGGAUUUGGUGCCUUCGGGUACUAUUUUCCAGGAUUUACUUUGAGAAAACUAGAGUGUUUCAAACAGGCAUUCGCCUUGAAUACUACAGCAUGGAAUAAUGAAGUAGGACUUUGGUUCUAUUUUGUUGGUUAUUGAGCCAGAGUAAUGGUUAAUAGGAGCAGUUGGGGGCAUUCGUAUUUAACUGUCAGAGGUGAAAUUCUUAGAUUUGUUAAAGACGAACUACUGCGAAAGC
rnacentral:rRNA from 1 species